GUUGACGCUGGCGGCAGGCCUAACACAUGCAAGUCGAACGGGUGGCGGACGGGUGAGUAAUGGCGUGGAAACUGGCUGACGGAGGGGGAUAACUCCGGGAACAGGUAGAUAAUACCGCAUACCCUCCGCUGUGCCCAGGGGGUAGUCGCAAGUAGGUGGGGUACAGGCUCACCUAGGCGACGCUCCCUAGCUGGUCGGAGAGGAUGACCAGCCAAACUUGAACUGAGACACGGCCCAGACUCCUACGGGAGGCAGCAGUGGGGAAUAUUGCACAAUGGGCGCAAGCCUGAUGCAGCCAUGCCGCGUGUGUGAAGAAGGCCUUCGGGUUGUAAAGCACUUUCAGCGAGGAGGCGUUACCCGCAGAAGAAGCACCGGCUAACUCCGUGCCAGCAGCCGCGGUAAUAC
rnacentral:rRNA from 1 species